rnacentral:tRNA from 1 species
GGCGGUGUAGCUCAGAGGUAGAGCAAACGGCUCAUAACCGUUGGGUCAGGGGUUCAAUUCCCCUCACCGCCACCA